rnacentral:lncRNA from 1 species
GGCGAUUUAAAACCUAAUAAUUUUUCACGUGCCCUCGAACAUCGGCAAAAUAGCGGUUCUGAUUGGCAUUGGCAGGGGACAAUUUAAUUAGCAAGUAGGUAUUCUUGAAUUUAUCGUUUAUACUGAUAGUAUAGGUUUUUUUCUUUUCUUUUGGCUACUAGAGCUACAUAACAUGGAUUUUGAAUGGAUUUUUUUUUUGUACGGACCUGAUUUCUUCAUGCCACAUGGUGCUUUCGUUUUGGGGUUAUGUACUCUACUGGCUCUAAUCUAGAAGGAGAUUUUAAGCAACUGUGAGCUAACGUCUAACCUAGACCACUACCAGAGCUUGGCGUUUUGUGAAGUGGAAGAGGUGAAGCUUGGAAGCCUGCAGUUUUUUCUUUGACUGGGAUUUGGAUGUCUGGGAGAGUCUCGAAUCUGAAGUAGUCUGCUGUGUGUGGAGCUAGGUGACACAACAUAACAUUUUUUUUAUUCACUUAUUUUAUUUUUAUUAUCACAACUUUUAUCUUUUGAGUUGAGAUACAUACAUAAGCUUAUUUAAAAUUUUAUUGACAUUAUUUAAUCGAUGCUAUUUUAUUAUUGAAUAUUACUGAUAAGAGUACAUAUAUAUGUGACAAGUGACUCCUGUGAGGUGAGACGCAGCCGGCUUCGUAGUACUACGAGUAUAUACUUGGGUUAUAUUAUUUAUUUUCAGACUACUCCUAAGAUGUCAAAUUUUCUCAGAUUAGCUAGUAAAUAUUAGAGUAAACUAAUAAAAGGGUAAUUUUAAGUGGGGAAGCUUCAACAGUUAGGGUUGUUAUUUUUUUUUUCGCUUAGGUCAAUGUCCGUGGCGGGAUAUACCGGGCCAUGUAAAUUAUUAGUUAAAUUGAAUUGAAGCUUCAUUCCCCAAAAGG